AACACGACUCUCGGCAACGGAUAUCUCGGCUCUGGCAUCGAUGAAGAACGUAGCGAAAUGCGAUACUUGGUGUGAAUUGCAGAAUCCCGUGAACCAUCGAKUCUUUGAACGCAAKUUGCGCCCCAAGCCGUUAGGCCGAGGGCACGCCUGCCUGGGUGUCACGC
rnacentral:rRNA from 1 species